CGCCAGCGCGGGGGGCGGCCGCGCCCGGGGCCCCCGGCCCGCCCCGCUCCGGCACGCGGGUCACGCAGGUUUAAGCUGCCUUAAAGGAGAAUUAAAAAUAGUGACUUCAAAGAACAAAAUAACACAGAAGAGAGAAAACAGCACUCAAAAAACCCCCAGAAAGGGGUAGCAGGUUGUUUGACACACAUGGGCACAGAAGAUUAUGAACAGUGAAGACAAUGAAGAGUGGGACAUCCAUCAAAGAGUAACAACCUCUUAUAAGGUGACUCUAGUGAGCUCAUGAGGCUCCUGUAAAGGCCAGACUCAGCUAGGAUGUUACACCACCACUGCAGGAGGAACCCUGAGCUGCAGGAAGAGUUGCAGAUCCAGGCUGCCGUGGCCGCCGGCGAUGUUCACACCGUGCGCAAGAUGCUGGAGCAGGGAUAUUCUCCAAACGGUCGGGAUGCCAAUGGCUGGACCUUGCUUCACUUCUCUGCAGCAAGAGGCAAGGAGAGAUGUGUCCGUGUUUUUCUGGAACAUGGAGCUGAUCCCACAGUUAAGGACUUAAUUGGAGGCUUCACUGCUCUGCAUUACGCAGCCAUGCAUGGCCGGGCGAGGAUUGCGCGCCUGAUGCUGGAAUCUGACUACAGAAGUGACAUUAUUAAUGCCAAGAGCAACGACGGCUGGACUCCCCUGCACGUCGCUGCUCACUACGGCAGAGACUCCUUUGUCAGGCUCCUCCUGGAGUUCAAGGCUGAGGUUGAUCCGCUCAGUGAUAAAGGUACUACACCACUCCAGCUGGCCAUUAUCCGGGAGAGGUCAAGCUGUGUGAAAAUCCUCCUGGACCACAAUGCCAACAUCGACAUUCAGAAUGGUUUCCUGUUACGAUACGCUGUGAUCAAAAGCAAUCACUCGUACUGCCGAAUGUUCCUCCAGAGAGGGGCCGAUACAAACUUGGGGCGCUUGGAAGAUGGACAGACACCCUUGCACUUGUCUGCUCUUAGAGAUGAUGUGCUUUGUGCACAAAUGUUGUAUAAUUACGGAGCAGACACUAACACAAGGAACUAUGAAGGACAGACCCCACUGGCUGUUUCAAUAAGUAUUUCUGGAAGUAGCCGACCCUGUCUGGAUUUCUUACAAGAAGUGACAAGACAGCCCAGAAACUUGCAAGAUCUAUGCCGAAUUAAAAUCCGUCAGUGUAUAGGCCUUCAAAACCUCAAACUGCUUGAUGAGCUACCCAUUGCCAAGGUCAUGAAAGACUACUUAAAACACAAAUUUGAUGAUAUCUGAUAUCCAUGAAGAGAGGAACUGUGAGCAAGUUUAGUUCUAUUCCAGAUACUGAAGAGGCUUGUUGCCUUGCACAAAGUAUAUCCUAUGCAAAUUCUGAUUUUUCUGUGAAGUCAGAAGGCAGGUAUACACUUCCUUGGGUUUUUUAUACCACACGCUAGAAGGUCUUAAUUUUUGGUUUCUUGGUCCAAGUUUAAAAGGUCCAAGCUUUCUAUACGAUAUUGCAUUUUAAAAAUUGCUGUUGGUUUUCUGUUUGUUUUCACAUUAUGUGUGCAGACUUGCCGUGGAGAUGGAAGGCAGCCCCUCGAGGGAAGUGCUUGGUUUGAGUUGGCAUGCUGAGCAAGAACAAAAAAGUUUGGAAAUCAAGGCACCAAUCCUGCAAAAGGAUACAGAUAGACCUCCAGAGCCCUGUUUGUUAGGACCUCUUGUCUCUGCCAGGUUAGAGAGCGGGAAGUGCACAUAAGCUAUUAACUAAGAAGACAAGCCCCACUGACAUUGAAAGUUCAAAUUUUGCAAUUAAUCUGAAAGCAGAAACUGAGAGGAGUGCUGAAAUCUGGCUACUGAAUGUGUCUUUCAAACCAGCGUGGAAAAUUUGGUUUUCUGGCUCUGGUUGGCAAUCAUAGGAGAACACAUCUGGACAAACUCUUCAGCUAAAUACCCAGAGGCAAAAGAAAAGAUAUGGCAUCUUUACCAGGAUGGGCUGGUUUGGAGGAAAAAACCUGCCCACAAGUGCAGCUUCCAUGCAAUGCUGUGUUACCAAUACCAUCAUGUAUUUUGUUCUUCCUUUGCAAUGUAAGUUUUUGCUUUGGGUCAAUUUGAAUUUAAAAAAAAAAAAAAAAAAAAAAGAAAGAAAAAAAAAAAGAAAAAAGUUAAACCUGGUUAAAACCUAUUUUUGGUUUAUGUUCUGUUUAUUUCUAAUGUAAUGUUUUAAUAACAUAAUACCACUUUACACAUUUUCUCUCCAUGUUUGUCUGUCUCUUCUACUCCUGUUCCCUUCUCCGGGGUUCAUGAUUCUGUAAUGCAUUUGGGACUCAAAAUGCCCCCACAAAUGGGAGUUCAGAUGUCUCAUGAGUUGUAAUGGGAUUUUUUUACCAGUAAAUAUGGACAAAACCCUCAUAGAAUAGUUUGGGGUGGAAGGGACCUUUAAGUUCCACCCCUGCCAUGGCAGGGACACCUUCCACUGUCCCAGGGUGCUUCAAGCCCCAUCCAGCCUGGCCUUGGGCACUUCCAGGGACCAGGGGCAGCCACAGCUGCUCUGGGCACCCUGUGCUGGGGCCUCCUCACCCUCCCAGUAAAACAAAACUCACUCUAGAGCUGGGCUUUGGAAGGGGGAACAAACUGGUCCUAAACUGUGAGUGGUUGGGUUUUCCCUGCUCUGAUUGCAGCGCUGCCCCUUCAGGGUUUUCUGACAGGUUCACCUUUCCUCCUCAAGCUCAUGCACUGACCAAGAUACAAAAAUGACCAAACAGAGGCUGCAUUUUAGGGUGUAUUUACUACUGAUAAAAAAGGGGGGUCUAUAUGAAUAUU